CAGUGGCGUAUGUCAAAGUUGUUGCAGUUAAAACGCUCGUAGUUGGGUCUAGAGCAAGGGCGCGGUCGUCUCGCCGGGACGGUGGGUGCGGCCGGGCGUUGCUUUUCUUUCUGGACGUUCACCGCCGGUCUUAAUUGGUUGGCGGUAAAGGGGCGGCUGUAGGUUCGGCCGUUCUGGGCCCCAGGACAUGUACUUUGAAGAAAAUGGAGUGCUUCAAGCAGGCGAUUGCACGAACAACUCAGCAUGGGAUACUGGAAUAGGACGAGUUCUUUAUUUUGUUGGUUUUUAGAGAAUCCGUAAUGAUAAAUAGGGAUAGUUGUGGGCGUCCGUAUUGGAAUGUCAGCGGUGAAAUGCAUGGAUCGUUCCAAGACGAACAACAGCGAAAGCAUUCGCCAAGGAUGUUUUCAUUAA
rnacentral:rRNA from 1 species